AUAGAUGUUAACGAAGAUGGUAGCGAAGCUGCCGCCGUUACGGUGUUCGAAGCCGUUGCGACGAGCUUAUUCAUCCCCAGCCAGCCUCCGACGGUAUUCAAGGUCGACAGGUCGUUCUUCUACGCCAUUUACCACCAUGACGCUAAAGUAACGAUUUUCAACGGAAUCGUGCGCCGACCGCAAUCGGCAUAAGUCGCCGUCUCCACGUCAUUCGAAAUGACGGGGCCAAGUGUAAUCGAAUGAAUAGAGAAAAGUACGAAUGAAUAAAUAACUCGUGCUGUUUAUAAA
rnacentral:lncRNA from 1 species